GUGAGGAAUAUUGGUCAAUGGGCGUAGGCCUGAACCAGCCAAGUAGCGUGCAGGAAGACUGCCCUAUGGGUUGUAAACUGCUUUUAUGCGGGAAUAAAGUCAGGUACGCGUACCUGUUUGCAUGUACCGCAUGAAUAAGGACCGGCUAAUUCCGUGCCAGCAGCCGCGGUAAUACGGAAGGUCCGGGCGUUAUCCGGAUUUAUUGGGUUUAAAGGGAGCGCAGGCGGAAGAUUAAGCGUGACGUGAAAUGUCCCGGCUCAACCGUGGAACUGCGUCGCGAACUGGUUUUCUUGAGUGAGUGCGACGUCGGCGGAAUUCGUGGUGUAGCGGUGAAAUGCUUAGAUAUCACGAAGAACCCCGAUUGCGAAGGCAGCCGACGAGUCCUUAACUGACGCUAAAGCUCGAAAGUGCGGGUAUCGAACAGG
rnacentral:rRNA from 1 species